UUUUAUAUAUUUCCAUGGUGUGCAUCCGCCUGGGAAAGAGCAGAGGCAAAAAUUCAGCAAUUAAUUUAUAGAGAGCAAGAGGGGGGCAUAUAAGAGCGUGGAAGGGAAGAGAUAGAUAGAUAUAGAGAAAGAAAGGUAUGACAGGGAGAUGAAAGAAAUGAGACAACAACCCUCUUAGCCUCCUCCCCGGCCCUCUCCUCCGUCCCCUCUCCUCCACUUCUAUCCCCUCAGUGCCAACAAGGAGCAGCAAGGCAGGAGAAGAAGAAGCUAGCAGGGAGGGAGUGAGGUAUCCCAUGUUUUUUUCCUCCUCUCUAGCUCCUUGUUGUGUUCCUUUCAGAAUUUUUAAAUAUCUGUAUGUAUGUGAGUUCUGUGGGUGUGGGUGUUUGCGAGCUUUUGUUCGUAUGCCUUCUCUUUUUUUUUACUUUGUUUUGAGUGCAACUGUUUGUUUGUUUGGAUUUCCCUGUCCACUUUGUUCUUUUGUUAAUCUCGGAAGGGUCCUAAGCGGCCGAGGCCUUGGAGUUUUUCUCGGCUCCUUGUCGAUUUGUUUGUUGUUUCAGAUCGGUUCCAAGGGGACGCAGCGCAUACAUAUGAGAUAGGUAUUAGCCAUCACGCGCUCAGGGAAUUUUGGGGCCUUUCCAUCUGCUCCUUCCCAGUCCCAGUUCUCUUCUUUCGUCGUCGUUCUCCUCCUUAAUUUGUACCUAGCUCGGGCGUCGGGGAACAAGAGUCUUCCAGAUCUCUUUCUCUCUCCCUCCCAUGGUCGCUUGCUUGUAUUUGCUGUGCAGUGUCAGUUUUUACUCUCUUAAUUGCGACGUCUCACAUGGAAAAUCUUUGCUUGUUUCAGCGAAGGGGGAAGAAGAAGGAGCACUGCCAAUCCCUGAACAAUCCGGAGUUGGUGCGAGGACCUAGGUUGGGAGGCGAUGGCAUCGAAUUCAUCGGCAGCGGCUGCGGCGGCGUUCUUCGGGAUGAGGGAUGGGGACCAGCAAGACCAGAUGAAGCCGCUGAUAUCACAGCAGCAGCACCAGCAGCACCAGCAGCACCAGCUGGCAGCGGUGGCACUGUCCGGCGCGGGUAACGCGGCGCCUGCGGCGUCAAGCCNNNNN
rnacentral:lncRNA from 1 species